rnacentral:lncRNA from 1 species
AAAAGAAUGACUCUGGCAGUAGUGUGGAGGGUGGACUGGAAGGAGUAUUUGCUGAAGCCAGCUGCUAUUCUCUGAGCUGCCUCAUGGAAGGGCCCAACUGGCAAGCAACUGAGACAAGCAAUCGUCAGAGAAGAAUGGAUGUACCCCAUCCAAAGUCCUGCAAUGAACUUGAAUGAUCCUGCAAUCUCAGAAUUGAAAGAAUCCUAUCAAAAACAAAGAACUUAUGAGCACAUACUGUACAGUAGAACUUGAGAUGACUGCAGCUCUUGUCUGCACCUUGAAGAUUUGCAAGAGUCCCUGAACUGGAAGACCGCACUAAGCUAUGCUCAGUUUCCUAACCCACUGUAACUGUAAGAUAAUAAAUGUUAUUCUUUUAAGCUUCUAAGUUUUAGGGCAUUUAUUACACAGCAAUAGAUAAAUUAUACACAGGCCAUAAAAUGUCCCUUGUGGAUAUUAAUAUCUUCCAUCUCUGAAUGAUACCACUCGUUUUGUAAGUUAAUCAUUAAUUGUCUUGCAUUGUUUACUUAGUGUUAAUUGGUCAUGUUCAAAUGAUGUUCUACAGGGCCCUAAGGAAUAUAUGUGUAUGAAUAUGUUUGCUUUUUGUAUGCAGUGUGAGUGUGUGAUUGGGGUGAAAGUUUAAAUAAAGAAGUUAGGUAGACAGGGCUCUGAGUGCAUUUUUUCUACCUUAGCAAGAACAGUUUCUCUUUUAUCUGCUAAAUGUAUUAGGUUGGUGCAACAGUAAUUGUGAUUUUUGCAUUGUUGAAAUUUGCAGAUUGAUAUUGGAAUAUGUUCUUAAAUAAAUGUGGUUAUGCUAUACAUCA